rnacentral:rRNA from 1 species
UUGAUUACGUCCCUGCCCUUUGUACACACCGCCCGUCGCUGCCCGGGACUGAGCCAUUUCGAGAAACUUGGGGAUCGCUGGUUGGGGACCUUCGGGUCUUCCUUCCGGUGAAAACCAAUUUAAUCGCAGCGGCUUGAACCGGGCAAAAGUCGUAACAAGGUGGCUGUAGGCGAACCUGCUGCCGGAUCAUUAACGACAAACACAUACCAUCGAGCAUGGCUAUGUUCUGAGGGCUGACUCCAGGCCGAGCGCAUUUGCGGCCUGUCCAGCAUAAAGUCUAUGGAGGCCAGUCUUCGGCCAUCGGGUGUAGCAGCUUCGGCUCUUCAACCCUGAUACGGAACCAUAGGCGAAAACGGCUUCGUUGGCUCCUAAGCAUCGCUGAGCAGUUGUGCUUCGUCCGUGGCUGCAAUGAGGUGAUGCGGUAGACCCUAUGCAUAUGGGUUAGGAUUAAUGAGCACCAGCCUGGGUGCUGCCAAUGACAAACCCCCCAUUUUCACAUUUUUUAUGAAUGAAAAAUUCUAGUCUUAUCGGUGGAUCACUCGGCUCGUAGGUCGAUGAAGAACGCAGCCAAAUGCGAUAACUAGUGUGAACUGCAGAUAUUUUGAACACUAAGAUUUCGAAUGCACAUUGCGCCAUGGGAAUUUAUCCCUUGGCACAUCUGGUUCAGGGUCGUUUUUAUCUAAAGCGAAUGCUUAUACAGUGAAACCGCGAACAGUUGCACGAUCACUUUGCGAUGCCAGCCACAGGCUUGUGUGGUUGUCUAGCAUUGUGUUCGUGCAUAUCGGAGAAGUCCCUUCCUGCCUAUUGACUCCAGUGGCAGGCCGUGGCGUGGCAUUGUAGCUUUAAAGCCGCACACGUGCCUUGUCCUGGGUCUAUUAGGCGCAAUCGCUAUUUCGACCUGAACUCAGGUGUGAGCACCUGCUGAACUUAAGCAUAUCAGUAAGCAGAGGAAAAGAAACUAACAAGGAUUCCCUUAGUAACGGCGAGUGAAA